rnacentral:rRNA from 1 species
CCUACGGGUGGCAGCAGUGGGGAAUAUUGGGCAAUGGGCGCAAGCCUGACCCAGCAACGCCGCGUGAAGGAAGAAGGCUUUCGGGUUGUAAAAUUCUUUUCUCAGGGACGAAGCAAGUGACGGUACCUGAUGAAUAAGCCACGGCUAACUACUUGCCAGAAGCCGCGGUAAUACGUAGGUGGCAAGCGUCAUCCGGAUUUACUGGGUGUAAAGGGCGUGUAGGCGGGACUGCAAGUCAGAUGUGAAAACCGCGGGCGCAACCUGUGGCCUGCAUUUGAAACUGUAGUUCUUGAGUACUGGAGAGGCAGACGGAAUUCCUAGUGUAGCGGUGAAAUGCGUAGAUAUUAGGAGGAACACCAGUGGCGAAGGCGGUCUGCUGGACAGCAACUGACGCUGAGGCGCGAAAGCGUGGGGAGCAAACAGGAUUAGAUACCCCAGUAGUC